rnacentral:rRNA from 1 species
AACGUAGGUACCGAGCGUUAUCCGGAUUUACUGGGCGUAAAGCGUGUUCAGGCGGCCUGGCAAGUCGGGCAUGAAAUCUCUCGGCUCAACCGAGAGAGGCUGUCCGAUACUGCUGGGCUUGAGGACGGUAGAGGGUGGUGGAAUUCCGCGUGUAGUGGUGAAAUGCGUAGAUAUCUGGAGGAACACCGGUGGCGAAGGCGGCAUCCUGGACCGGUAUUGACACUGAGGCGCGAAAGCCAGGGGAGCAAACGGG